rnacentral:rRNA from 1 species
UUCUACGGCCAUGCUACCCUGAACAAGCCUGAUCCUGUCUGAUCUCGGAAGCUAAGCAGGGUCGGGCCUGGUUAGUACUUGGAUGGGAGAUCACUAGGAAUACCAGGUACUGUAGGCA